rnacentral:rRNA from 1 species
UACGGGGGGGCAAGCGUUGUUCGGAAUUACUGGGCGUAAAGGGUUUGUAGGUGGCUUGCUAAGUCAGACGUGAAAUCCCUCAGCUUAACUGGGGAACUGCGUCUGAGACUGGCGAGCUUGAGUGCAGGAGAGGAACGCGGAAUUCCAGGUGUAGCGGUGAAAUGCGUAGAUAUCUGGAGGAACACCGGUGGCGAAGGCGGCGUUCUGGACUGCAACUGACACUGAGAAACGAAAGCCAGGGGAGCAAACGGG